AGAGUUUGAUCCUGGCUCAGGAUGAACGCUGGCGGCGUGCCUAACACAUGCAAGUCGAGCGAUCUUCUUCGGAAGAGAGCGGCGGACGGGUGAGUAACGCGUGGGUAACCUGCCCUGUACACACGGAUAACAUACCGAAAGGUAUGCUAAUACGGGAUAACAUAAGAAAUUCGCAUGUUUUUCUUAUCAAAGCUCCGGCGGUACAGGAUGGACCCGCGUCUGAUUAGCUAGUUGGUGAGGUAACGGCUCACCAAGGCGACGAUCAGUAGCCGACCUGAGAGGGUGAUCGGCCACAUUGGAACUGAGACACGGUCCAAACUCCUACGGGAGGCAGCAGUGGGGAAUAUUGCACAAUGGGCGAAAGCCUGAUGCAGCGACGCCGCGUGAGCGAAGAAGUAUUUCGGUAUGUAAAGCUCUAUCAGCAGGGAAGAUAAUGACGGUACCUGACUAAGAAGCUCCGGCUAAAUACGUGCCAGCAGCCGCGGUAAUACGUAUGGAGCAAGCGUUAUCCGGAUUUACUGGGUGUAAAGGGAGUGUAGGUGGCCAUGCAAGUCAGAAGUGAAAAUCCGGGGCUCAACCCCGGAACUGCUUUUGAAACUGUAAGGCUAGAGUGCAGGAGGGGUGAGUGGAAUUCCUAGUGUAGCGGUGAAAUGCGUAGAUAUUAGGAGGAACACCAGUAGCGAAGGCGGCUUUCUGGACUGUAACUGACACUGAGGCACGAAAGCGUGGGGAGCAAACAGGAUUAGAUACCCUGGUAGUCCACGCCGUAAACG
rnacentral:rRNA from 1 species